UUUCGGCAGAUUUAUUCAAAAUAAACUUUUAAAUUCUUUAAAGUAUCGUUAGGAUUAUUAUAGGAUUAUAUUUUGACGAAAAGUGAAAAUGUGUUAAAUCCGAUUCGAAUAUCGCGUCAACUGAUUGAAACUGACAAAAAACGAGAGAAGUUCGAACUUUGAACGCGUUCCUUCGACUGACGCCGCAAAGUAACUAUGAGGAAGGCAAUAAUGAGAGAGAAGAUUCAGCGAAACGAGUUUCGAUCGCUCGGAACGGAGGCGUAUCUCUAGGAUGAGGAAAAUAAUCAAUGUCGCUGAAAAGUCUUCCACGCAUACACGAAAAUUCUUCAAUAACGUGAUGAAACCUUCCAUCAAUAACAGAGGAAAUA